rnacentral:rRNA from 1 species
UACGUAGGGGUCGAGCGUUGUCCGGAGUUACUGGGCGUAAAGCGUGCGCAGGCGGCUCAUUGCGCCCGGCGUGAAAGCCCCCGGCUCAACCGGGGAGGGUCGUCGGGGACGGGUGAGCCUGAGGGUAUCAGGGGUUGGUGGAAUUCCCGGUGUAGUGGUGAAAUGCGUAGAGAUCGGGAGGAACACCCGUGGCGAAGGCGGCCAACUGGGAUACACCUGACGCUGAGGCACGAAGGCGUGGGGAGCGAACGGG